AUCGGGAGGGCCUGGAGAGGGUAGAGGAGGCGUGGGAGGAUGUUUUGUUUAAUGACAUUACAUCGCCCAGUCCAUGAAAAUGCCAGAAUGGUCCAACUCU